GCGGCGAUGGCUCAAUGGGCAGUGUCAGGCUAGUAAUCCGGAGGUUGUGAGUUCAAGCCUGACUCGCAGCU
rnacentral:tRNA from 1 species